GACCAUCAGCCUGACAAACAGCGGGGCUUUGGGAGCCACAUUCAGAGUUCAGACGUCAGCAGGGGCCACAAGUACCCUCAGAGCAGCAGUAAAAGCUGCUCCUGCAAGAGUGGCCACUGAACAUCCCAGUGCCUGUGACCCUGAAGAGAAAGGCAGCACGGGCCCUGUGGCAGCUGGGGAUCCAAACAAGAGCUGUGCUGAGCCCAGGGAGGGGCUGAGCCCCUGUGCAGCCCAGGAGCCCAAGAGCAGCAGUGCCACAGAACAACUUGGUCAAAGAGAAUUAAAUAACAGAUCAGAUCUGGUCACAGACAAUGCAGAUAAUUUAGUGGAACUUUCUCCUGAAGAUAUACCAAUUGAAAUUAU
rnacentral:lncRNA from 1 species